GCAGCCGCCGCGGGAAUACAGAGGGUGCGAGCGUUAAUCGGAUUUACUGGGCGUAAAGCGUGCGUAGGCGGCUAAUUGAGUCGGAUGUGAAAUCCCCGAGCUUAACUUGGGAAUUGCAUUCGAUACUGGUUAGCUAGAGUGUGGGAGAGGAUGGUAGAAUUCCUGGUGUAGCGGUGAAAUGCGUAGAGAUCUGGAGGAAUACCGAUGGCGAAGGCAGCCAUCUGGCCUAACACUGACGCUGAGGUACGAAAGCAUGGGGAGCAAACAGGAUUAGAUACCCCUGUAGUCCCUGUCUCUUAUAA
rnacentral:rRNA from 1 species